GAUGAACGCUGGCGGCGUGCCUAAUACAUGCAAGUCGAGCGAACGGACGAGAAGCUUGCUUCUCUGAUGUUAGCGGCGGACGGGUGAGUAACACGUGGAUAACCUACCUAUAAGACUGGGAUAACUUCGGGAAACCGGAGCUAAUACCGGAUAAUAUUUUGAACCGCAUGGUUCAAAAGUGAAAGACGGUCUUGCUGUCACUUAUAGAUGGAUCCGCGCUGCAUUAGCUAGUUGGUAAGGUAACGGCUUACCAAGGCAACGAUGCAUAGCCGACCUGAGAGGGUGAUCGGCCACACUGGAACUGAGACACGGUCCAGACUCCUACGGGAGGCAGCAGUAGGGAAUCUUCCGCAAUGGGCGAAAGCCUGACGGAGCAACGCCGCGUGAGUGAUGAAGGUCUUCGGAUCGUAAAACUCUGUUAUUAGGGAAGAACAUAUGUGUAAGUAACUGUGCACAUCUUGACGGUACCUAAUCAGAAAGCCACGGCUAACUACGUGCCAGCAGCCGCGGUAAUACGUAGGUGGCAAGCGUUAUCCGGAAUUAUUGGGCGUAAAGCGCGCGUAGGCGGUUUUUUAAGUCUGAUGUGAAAGCCCACGGCUCAACCGUGGAGGGUCAUUGGAAACUGGAAAACUUGAGUGCAGAAGAGGAAAGUGGAAUUCCAUGUGUAGCGGUGAAAUGCGCAGAGAUAUGGAGGAACACCAGUGGCGAAGGCGACUUUCUGGUCUGUAACUGACGCUGAUGUGCGAAAGCGUGGGGAUCAAACAGGAUUAGAUACCCUGGUAGUCCACGCCGUAAACGAUGAGUGCUAAGUGUUAGGGGGUUUCCGCCCCUUAGUGCUGCAGCUAACGCAUUAAGCACUCCGCCUGGGGAGUACGACCGCAAGGUUGAAACUCAAAGGAAUUGACGGGGACCCGCACAAGCGGUGGAGCAUGUGGUUUAAUUCGAAGCAACGCGAAGAACCUUACCAAAUCUUGACAUCCUUUGACAACUCUAGAGAUAGAGCCUUCCCCUUCGGGGGACAAAGUGACAGGUGGUGCAUGGUUGUCGUCAGCUCGUGUCGUGAGAUGUUGGGUUAAGUCCCGCAACGAGCGCAACCCUUAAGCUUAGUUGCCAUCAUUAAGUUGGGCACUCUAAGUUGACUGCCGGUGACAAGCCGGAGGAAGGUGGGGAUGACGUCAAAUCAUCAUGCCCCUUAUGAUUUGGGCUACACACGUGCUACAAUGGACAAUACAAAGGGCAGCGAAACCGCGAGGUCGAGCAAAUCCCAUAAAGUUGUUCUCAGUUCGGAUUGUAGUCUGCAACUCGACUACAUGAAGCUGGAAUCGCUAGUAAUCGUAGAUCAGCAUGCUACGGUGAAUACGUUCCCGGGUCU
rnacentral:rRNA from 1 species